rnacentral:rRNA from 1 species
GACGAACGCUGGCGGCGUGCUUAACACAUGCAAGUCGAACGGUGAAAGGGAGCUUGCUCCCUGGAUCAGUGGCGAACGGGUGAGUAACACGUGGGCAACCUGCCCCAGACUUCGGGAUAACGCUUCGAAAGAGGUGCUAAUACCGGAUACGAACUCCUUGGGCAUCCUUGGAGUUGGAAAGUUUUUCGGUCGGGGAUGGGCCCGCGGUCUAUCAGCUUGUUGGUGAGGUAACGGCUCACCAAGGCGACGACGGGUAGCCGGCCUGAGAGGGCGACCGGCCACACUGGGACUGAGACACGGCCCAGACUCCUACGGGAGGCAGCAGUGGGGAAUAUUGCGCAAUGGGCGAAAGCCUGACGCAGCAACGCCGCGUGAGGGAUGACGGCCUUCGGGUUGUAAACCUCUUUCAGCAGGGAAGAAGCGAAAGUGACGGUACCUGCAGAAGAAGCACCGGCUAACUACGUGCCAGCCGCCGCGGUAAUAC